AGCGAACGUUAGCGGCGGGCCUAACACAUGCAAGUCGAGCGAGAAAGGGGCUUCGGCCCUGAGUAAAGCGGCGGACGGGUGAGUAACACGUAGGUAAUCUUCCUUCGAGCGGGGGACAACGGUCCGAAAGGACCGCUAAUACCGCGUACGUUCCCGAGGACCCUGGUCCUUGGGAGGAAAGCCAGGUCGCAAGAUCCGGCACGCGGUGAGGCGCCUGCGUCGCAUCAGCUAGUUGGUGGGGUAAUGGCCUACCAAGGCGAAGACGCGUAGCUGGUCUGAGAGGAUGAUCAGCCACACUGGGACUGAGACACGGCCCAGACUCCUACGGGAGGCAGCAGUGGGGAAUAUUGGACAAUGGGCGCAAGCCUGAUCCAGCCACGCCGCGUGAGUGAUGAAGGCCUUCGGGUCGUAAAGCUCUGUGGGGAGGGACGAACCGCUGCACGUGCAUAGCGUGCAGCAUGACGGUACCUCCUUAGCAAGCACCGGCUAACUUCGUGCCAGCCGCCGCAGUAA
rnacentral:rRNA from 1 species